AUCAGAAAAAAGGAGAAUAGUUUGUUAGUUAGUGGAAGUAGCCAGAAUGGGCAAGUGGACCUCAGUUCCUAUUACAUAAGGUUCUAGGAAGUUUGCGAUAAUGAAAAUUUAUCACAGUAUGUCCAGCCACUUGAAAAUAGGUGUAGUAAUGACAAAGCUAUCCAAGUAGCUCCAGCGCAGGCAACACAAAGGCAAGGCAAGUGUGUAUUGCCACAUCACCCCUUAAUAUAUCUGAAGCAAGUACAAGUAAACAAUCAGAACCAGCAAAAAGAAAACUGUUGUUCCUGAGGACAAAUUUGACAGUGAUCAGUCAAAUGCAGAAGGAUCAGCUGUUGAGAGUUAUCUCUCUAUAUCUCCACUCCAUCAAAGACUUGUGCACUUCAUUUAUUGAAAUUAAUAUUAAUGAAUAUUAAUUUAAAUUAUCGUGCGAAUUUUGUGGUCAAAACAUUUAAGUGUAUUUUAUAAAUAAAUAUUCAUUCUCAGUA